rnacentral:misc_RNA from 1 species
UCUGGAGUCCGCGAGACCGCUCGGUCGGCCGCAACGAGACGAAAGUCUGAUGAGGGACGUGAUAACGGGAUGCCACAAAGGGGCAUCGUUAUACCGGAAACCGUUACAGACCUGAGACGAAAGACAAAAGAGACAAGGACUGUUUAUGGUUCUGUACUGCUUCUGAGAUCUAUUGAUAAGGGGGAUUAGCUCAGCUGGCUAGAGCACCUGCUUUGCAAGCAGGGGGUCAACGGUUCGAAUCCGUUAUUCUCCACCCUUCCGGACACUUGUUCCGGAUCCGAUCUUUGACAUUCUGACACAAGCAAGACUGCAGUCUGCCCCUGACAGGGCAGGCUCAAUGAAGAAAACUGAAGUAUGAGCUCCCGCGGCACGUGUAUGUGCCGUGUGGACAAUCAGAGGCGAAAGUAAGAAAGGGCGCAUGGCGGAUGCCUUGGCUCACGGAGGCGAUGAGGGACGUGAUAAGCUGCGAUAAGCCGCGGGUAGGUGCAAAUGACCAUUGAUCCGCGGAUUUC